rnacentral:lncRNA from 1 species
UAGUCUGUAUUGUGUUAACUAUACCAAAAGAAAAAAUUGAAACAGCUUGUGAAAGAAUAAAAGAGUUCUGUGACCUACAUUAUAAUAGUGACAGUCCAUCCGUUAUUUCCUAUUAAUCAUUGACUGUGAUAAUACUGUGAUAAAGUUAUAUUAAAUCAAUGGACCACUUUGAUUGGUAUGGUACCAUGAUGCAGAGUGCAGCUAACUUUCAUAAUUA